rnacentral:rRNA from 1 species
AGAGUUUGAUCCUGGCUCAGAUUGAACGCUGGCGGCAGGCCUAACACAUGCAAGUCGAGCGGUAACAGGACUAGCUUGCUAGUUGCUGACGAGCGGCGGACGGGUGCGUAACACGUAGGAAUCUGCCCGGUAGUGGGGGAUAGCCCGGAGAAAUCCGGAUUAAUACCACAUACGCCCUAAGGGGGAAAGAUGGCCUCUUCUCGAAAGCUAUCACUAUCGGAUGAGCCUGCGUCGGAUUAGCUAGUUGGUGAGGUAAAGGCUCACCAAGGCGACGAUCCGUAGCUGGUCUGAGAGGAUGAUCAGCCACACUGGGACUGAGACACGGCUCAGCCUCCUACGGGGGGCAGCAGUGGGGAAUAUUGCACAAUGGGCGCAAGCCUGAUGCAGCCAUGCCGCGUGUGUGAAGAAGGCUCUAGGGUCGUAAAGCACUUUCAGCGAGGAGGAAAGGUUAAAGAUUAAUACUCUUUAGCUGUGACGUUACUCGCAGAAGAAGCACCGGCUAACUCCGUGCCAGCAGCCGCGGUAAU